rnacentral:sRNA from 1 species
GCUUUCAACAUCCCCGUCCGGCGCUCCACUUGGAGCUGGCUGGACUGAAGGC